GGCCUUCACUACCACAUGAUGGAU
rnacentral:siRNA from 1 species